rnacentral:rRNA from 1 species
CAAUAGCGUAUAUUAAAGUUGUUGCAGUUAAAAAGCUCGUAGUUGGAUUUGUGGCGUACGGUGUGUUCCGGGCACUUGUUGUCUGAGUAACCUGCUGUUGCCAUCCUUGGGUGGAACCUGUGUGGCAUUAGGUUCUCGUGCAGGGGAUGCCCAUCAUUUACUGUGAAAAAAUUAGAGUGUUCAAAGCAGGCUUAUGCCGUUGAAUAUAUUAGCAUGGAAUAAUGAGAUAGGACUUUUUUGCUAUUUUGUUGGUUUGCGCAAAGAGGUAAUGAUUAAUAGGGACAGUUGGGGGUAUUCGUAUUCCAUUGUCAGAGGUGAAAUUCUUGGAUUUUUGGAAGACGAACUACUGCGAAAGCAUUUACCAAGGAUGUUUUCAUUAA